rnacentral:rRNA from 1 species
AGGUUAAUGAGGCGAACCGGGGGAACUGAAACAUCUAAGUACCCCGAGGAAAAGAAAUCAACCGAGAUUCCCCCAGUAGCGGCGAGCGAACGGGGAGGAGCCCAGAGCCUGAAUCAGUGUGUGUGUUAGUGGAAGCGUCUGGAAAGGCGCGCGAUACAGGGUGACAGCCCCGUACACAAAAAUGCACAUACUGUGAGCUCGAUGAGUAGGGCGGGACACGUGGUAUCCUGUCUGAAUAUGGGGGGACCAUCCUCCAAGGCUAAAUACUCCUGACUGACCGAUAGUGAACCAGUACCGUGAGGGAAAGGCGAAAAGAACCCCGGCGAGGGGAGUGAAAAAGAACCUGAAACCGUGUACGUACAAGCAGUGGGAGCCUCUUAAUGGGGUGACUGCGUACCUUUUGUAUAAUGGGUCAGCGACUUAUAUUCUGUAGCAAGGUUAACCGAAUAGGGGAGCCGAAGGGAAACCGAGUCUUAACUGGGCGUUAAGUUGCAGGGUAUAGACCCGAAACCCGGUGAUCUAGCCAUGGGCAGGUUGAAGGUUGGGUAACACUAACUGGAGGACCGAACCGACUAAUGUUGAAAAAUUAGCGGAUGACUUGUGGCUGGGGGUGAAAGGCCAAUCAAACCGGGAGAUAGCUGGUUCUCCCCGAAAGCUAUUUAGGUAGCGCCUCGUGAAUUCAUCUCCGGGGGUAGAGCACUGUUUCGGCAAGGGGGUCAUCCCGACUUACCAACCCGAUGCAAACUGCGAAUACCGGAGAAUGUUAUCACGGGAGACACACGGCGGGUGCUAACGUCCGUCGUGAAGAGGGAAACAACCCAGACCGCCAGCUAAGGUCCCAAAGUCAUGGUUAAGUGGGAAACGAUGUGGGAAGGCCCAGACAGCCAGGAUGUUGGCUUAGAAGCAGCCAUCAUUUAAAGAAAGCGUAAUAGCUCACUGGUCGAGUCGGCCUGCGCGGAAGAUGUAACGGGGCUAAACCAUGCACCGAAGCUGCGGCAGCGACGCUUAUGCGUUGUUGGGUAGGGGAGCGUUCUGUAAGCCUGUGAAGGUGGCCUGUGAGGG